rnacentral:sRNA from 1 species
CUUUUUUAGCGCCAUCUGCUCGCGGCGCCGCCUCCUGCUCCUCCCGCUGCCGCUGCCGCCCUGAGUCACUGCCUGCGCAGCUCCGGCCGCCUGGCUCCCCAUACUAGUCGCCGCCUGCCUAGGGUAGUUAAAAGACGAGUGAAUGCUCUCAAAAACCUGCAAGUUAAAUGUGCACAGAUAGAAGCCAAAUUCUAUGAGGAAGUUCAUGAUCUUGAAAGGAAGUAUGCUGUUCUCUAUCAGCCUCUAUUUGAUAAGCGAUUUGAAAUUAUUAAUGCAAUUUAUGAACCUACGGAAGAAGAAUGUGAAUGGAAACCAGAUGAAGAAGAUGAGAUUUCGGUUAGUACCAACUUUAUUUUGGUAUGUUUUUAAGAUGAUAAAAUCUUAGGACUUGUCAGAAAUGUUAGCAUUUAAUGAUGGAGUACAAUAUUACAUAACCAGUUGUAUUUUUUCAUUUUUUAAUUUUACGUCUUUAUUACACGGUUUUCUAUUACUUUAUUUUUAAAAAACAGUCAUUCAAGAUUGUAAUUUGCAUGGCGAU